rnacentral:rRNA from 1 species
UACGUAGGACCCAAGCGUUAUCCGGAAUUACUGGGCGUAAAGAGUUGCGUAGGUGGCAUAGUAAGUAGAUAGUGAAAGCGUGUGGCUCAACCAUACAUCCAUUAUCUAAACUGCUAAGCUAGAAGAUGAGAGAGGUAGAUGGAAUUCCUGAUGUAGGGGUAAUAUCCGUAGAUAUCAGGAGGAACACCGAUGGCGUAGGCAGUCUACUGGCUCAUUCUUGACACUAAGGCACGAAAGCAUGGGGAGCAAACAGG